CAAUAGCGUAUAUUUAAGUUGUUGCAGUUAAAAAGCUCGUAGUUGGAUUUCGGAUGGGACUUGCCGGUCCGUCGUUUCGAUGUGCACUGGCCAGUCCUAUCUUGUUGUCGGGGACUAGCUCCUGGGCUUCACUGUCCGGGACUAGGAGCUGACGAGGUUACUUUGAGUAAAUUAGAGUGUUCAAAGCAAGCCUACGCUCUGAAUACAUUAGCAUGGAAUAACACGAUAGGACUCUGGCUUAUCUUGUUGGUCUGUGAGACCAGAGUAAUGAUUAAGAGGGACGGUCGGGGGCAUUCGUAUUUCAUUGUCAGAGGUGAAAUUCUUGGAUUUAUGAAAGACGAACUUCUGCGAAAGCAUUUGUCAAGGAUGUUUNCAUUAA
rnacentral:rRNA from 1 species